rnacentral:rRNA from 1 species
CCUACGGGUGGCAGCAGUGGGGAAUAUUGCACAAUGGGGGAAACCCUGAUGCAGCGACGCCGCGUGAGUGAAGAAGUAUUUCGGUACGUAAAGCUCUAUCAGCAGGGAAGAAAAUGACGGUACCUGACUAAUAAGCCCCGGCUAAAAACGUGCCAGCAGCCGCGGUAAAACGUAGGGGGCAAGCGAUAUCCGGUUUUACUGGGUGUAAAGGUAUCGGAGACGGUUGGGCAAGUCUGGAGUGAAAUCCCAUGGCUUAACCGUGGAACUGCUUUGGAUACUGUGCAGCUAGAGUGAAGGAGAGGUAAGCGGAAUUCCUAGUGUAGCGGUGAAAUGCGUAGAUAUAAGGAGGAACACCAAAGGCGAAGGCAGCUUACUGGACUGAAACUGACGUUGAGGCUCGAAAGCGUGGGGAGCAAACAGGAUUAGAUACCCCAGUAGUC